ensembl:miRNA
GUGGGAGGAUAGCUUGAGCCCGGGAGGUUGAGGCUCCAGUGAGCUGAGAUCAUGCCACUGCACUCCAGCCUGAGUGACAGAGCAAGACCCUGUCUC